rnacentral:rRNA from 1 species
UACGGGGGGGGCAAGCGUUGUUCGGAAUUACUGGGCGUAAAGGGCGUGUAGGCGGCCAACUAAGUCCGACGUGAAAUCCCCAGGCUUAACCUGGGAACUGCGUCGGAUACUGGAUGGCUUGAAUCCGGGAGAGGGAUGCAGAAUUCCAGGUGUAGCGGUGAAAUGCGUAGAUAUCAAGAGGAACACCUGAGGUGAAGACGGGUUGCUGGGCUGACACUGACGCUGAGGCGCGAAAGCUAGGGUAGCAAACGGG